GAUGAACGCUGACAGAAUGCUUAACACAUGCAAGUCUUUGGCGAAGCUGUGCUUGCACAGCCUAGCCAAGGCGGACGGGUGAGUAACGCGUAAGGAACUUGCCCUGCAGUCAGGGAUAACAGACGGAAACGACUGAUAAGACCUGGUAAAGUCAGGCGGACUCAUGUCCAGCCUGAUGAAAAGAGAUGCUGCAGGAGAGCCUUGCGUCCUAUUAGCUUGUUGGUGGGGUAACGGCCCACCAAGGCGAUGAUAGGUAGCCGGCCUGAGAGGGUGGACGGCCACAAGGGGACUGAGAUACGGCCCUUACUCCUACGGGAGGCAGCAGUGGGGAAUAUUGGACAAUGGGGGCAACCCUGAUCCAGCAAUUCUGUGUGCACGAUGAAGGUUUUCGGAUUGUAAAGUGCUUUCAGCAGGGAAGAAAAAAAUGACGGAACCUGCAGAAGAAGCGACGGCUAAAUACGUG
rnacentral:rRNA from 1 species